AUGCGAGUCUCAUUCUACGAGAGUGUUGAGUUGUUCAUGAAAGGGGGUGAUGGUUUGAAAUUCACAGUGGGGUGUUCUUCAGCGGCGGAUUGGCAGGAUGUAUUGCGUGAAGAAAGAUGGAAGGAAGUUGGGGAAGAACCAAGGAUGAGCGGAAGAUGUGAGUCUGAAUCUAAAACAAAUUUCAAUCAAAACUCCUCUCCUCUCACAUUCUGUUUCUAUUUGUUUCGUUCAAAACUAAUCUGA